rnacentral:lncRNA from 1 species
CUCAAACUAGUAUGGUAGAUCCUCCUAUAAUGCUAGGGUCCCAGUCCUGGAAAAUGUCUCAUAAUGAGAAUCUACUUUACAAAGGCAGUAGACUUCAAAUUAAAUCUGGGAGUUAGAGAACCAUGGCCAAGACCUCCAUUGACCAGUCUUUUUCAAUACUACAUUGACUUGAAUGAGGAACAGCUCUCCAAAGCAGCUCAAUGAGGAAAAGGAACCUACAUUGAAAGGUGCACAGCACAGUCCCAUCUGGGAGCAAUGCCGGAACAUAUAAAUGCCAGGCCUGACACAUGCACCACAUAGAUGCCAGCCAAGAUGUUCGCAAUGCUCACCCACGCUCCAUUUUCUUUACACCUUGCAAUGCUGAACAGAUACCAGCUUCUCUAACAUCACAGCACAGAGUCUUCACAGAGUGUGCUCCUGAACACUCUGAAGUCAUUCAGGGCUGCCAGAUAAUCAGUCAGACUAAUUAUCCUAGCCUUAAAAAAAUCCAAAAAAAGCCAAGUGUCCCUGAUAUUUGGCUGAUUGUUAGCCAAAGUUUGCAGCCGUUACCCCACCACAUUAAAAAUGGAUUUCCCACCAACUACAAUGGUGGAACACAUUUCCCCCCACUAAAAUCGUGGUACACACAGUCUUUUUGCAGGCUGCAAAAAGAAGUCUUUGACUUCUCUCCAAAUCAAAGCAUAGAUUUCUCACAGGCUGCAAUGGUGAUGUCAGACUCCCCUCUCACAUCAAACGCACUGAUGCCAAACAAGAUGCUUAUCUUCUCCCCACACACACCCCAGAUAGGGGUUCAGUGCCAAAGUCUGGUAGGAAAAACACCAUCCUCUACCUCUGAUAAUUUCUCACAGAGUGUGUGGGAUGGCCAGAGAGCCCUGGAACCCCAAGAAACAGUUUCCCAUGGAACUGCCAUGAAAGCCUCGGCAGCAAAGCAGGACACUGCUGCCUUGCUGCCAGUGUGCUCUGGAACCAUACACACCCAAAAGCACUUUGUACUCACUCAGAAAUCUAAUCACCAACCACAGCACAGAUAUACUACAGCAAACAAUCAAAGGCACACAAAAG